GCCCGAGCUGCCCCCGGAGGCGCGGGGGGGGGGGGGGUGCGAGCCCCGGCCUGCGGGCGCGGGGAUCCGUGGCGCAGCGCGGUCGGUGGCCCGGGUUGGAGACUGCGCCCGAGGCCCCUCUCUACGCCCGGAGGCCGGCGUCCCCUGAACCCCAGGAAUGGGCCUCGCUGGAAAAGAUUUUAUUUAUUUAAUUUAGACAGACUCCUAGAUUUCCAGACUGAGCUGGAGCAGGACCAUGAGAUCAGGACCUGAGGGGGUCAAGAGGCUGUCCUUUAACCAGUGAGCCACCCAGGUGCCCCGCAGUGUUGGAGGAGGAUCUAUAGCCCAUUUUACUGCUGGUGGGCUGCGUUAUUUCUGAAGAGCAACUUCUCAGUGUGUAGCAAGAGCUAAAACGUCUUUAAAACAUUUAAUCUACCCUUUCCACUUUACAAAAGAGAAAAGAGAAGAAAAUGUCAAAAAAGGGAAAAAUGAAAUUUAUGCAAAGUAUGUAGCAGCAUUAUUUUUUUGCAGUAGAAAUAUGAAACAUCUCUAAUGCACAAAAGAGAACGGCUUAGGGAACUGCUCAAUAUUAACAGAAUGGAAUACAGCGCACAAUUAUGUGGAUUAGGUUAACUCAUGGAAAUCUAUAUGUGAAGCUGUAAUAAAUAAAGCUGAAUAAGUGAUGCAUAUGUCCACCGCUAAA